UACGAAGGGGGCUAGCGUUGUUCGGAAUUAUUGGGCGUAAAGGGCUCGUAGGCGGUCCAUCGCGUCGGGAGUGAAAAGCUGGGGCUUAACCCCAGUCCUGCUUCCGAUACGGGUGGACUAGAGGUAGGUAGGGGAGAUCGGAAUUCCUGGUGUAGCGGUGAAUGCGCAGAUAUCAGGAGGAACACCGGUGGCGAAGGCGGGGUCUCUGGGCCGAUACUGACGCUGAGGAGCGAAAGCGUGGGGAGCGAACAGG
rnacentral:rRNA from 1 species